rnacentral:lncRNA from 1 species
CCUCAAUUCCUCUCCUGUCCACUUUCAAUUUUCUCCGACGUCAACAUCCCCUUCUCGCACCUCCCCUCCUCAUCGUCGUCACAUGCAUACGCACACGACCGUGCAAUCAACAUGGCACACGUGUUGCGUGUACGCCAGCCUCAAUACCGUAUCAUACAUCAACAAAUUGUUUUUCAUACCGCGCGUCUGAUAUUGUGUACGCGCCUCAUCUCACCUUGAUGAUAUUGUUAUACACUCCUCAAAACUUGUACUGUGUUGUACAGUGCAUCGCUUCGCCACCAUAUUGCCUGAUGCACCUCCCCUUCAUCCGUCACUUGCAAUCAUGCAUCGCCCAUCCACCCUUUUUACAAGUCCACGGCACCAUCGCAUUCCUUUCCCUCAUACGGUAUCUUCCGCCUUGUGUGCAGAUACACACCAUGUUCCGCCGAUAUCGUUCCGCCGAUACCGUUCUACAGGUUCGCGCACUGCUGCCGCACUGCUUUGAUUGACACGUUCGUGCGCUGAUGCGUGUUCUUGCAUGGUGUACGUGCGUGCGUGCAUGGUGGCAAAGCCUCCAUAAUCCUUCCCCACGUCCAUGCACCCGCCCCAUCAACAUAACCCCACGCGCACACGCAUAGCCAGCACGCACCCGCAGCGAGCACGCUACCACAAAUGCCAAGCUUGUGCCGUAUAUCGUCAUACAUCGUCAACCAAUUGAAUGAGAAUGCGCACAAACAACUCCAAU